rnacentral:rRNA from 1 species
GUGAGGAAUAUUGGGCAAUGCCCGAAAGGGUGACCCAGCAACGCCGCGUGGAGGAUGAAGGUCGUAAGAUUGUAAACUCCUGUUAGAGGGGAAGAAUAACUAAGUUUGGAGCUUAGUAUGACUGUACCCUCAGAGAAAGCCCCGGCUAACUACGUGCCAGCAGCCGCGGUAAUACGUAGGGGGCAAGCGUUGUCCGGAUUUACUGGGUGUAAAGGGCGCGCAGGCGGAAUGGAAAGUCAGUGGUGAAAUCCUACAGCUUAACUGUAGAACUGCCUUUGAUACUUUCAUUCUUGAGUUCGGGAGAGAGAGACGGAAUUCCAGGUGUAGUGGUGAAAUACGUAGAUAUCUGGAAGAACACCAGUUGCGAAGGCGGUCUCUUGGUCCGAUACUGACGCUGAGGCGCGAAAGCGUGGGGAGCAAACAGGAUUAGAAACCCCAGUAGUCC